rnacentral:rRNA from 1 species
GAUGAACGCUGGCGGCGUGCCUAAUACAUGCAAGUCGAGCGAACGGACGAGAAGCUUGCUUCUCUGAUGUUAGCGGCGGACGGGUGAGUAACACGUGGAUAACCUACCUAUAAGACUGGGAUAACUUCGGGAAACCGGAGCUCAUACCGGAUGAUAUUUUGAACCGCAUGGUUCAAAAGUGAAAGACGGUCUUGCUGUCACUUAUAGAUGGAUCCGCGCUGCAUUAGCUAGUUGGUAAGGUAACGGCUUACCAAGGCAACGAUGCAUAGCCGACCUGAGAGGGUGAUCGGCCACACUGGAACUGAGACACGGUCCAGACUCCUACGGGAGGCAGCAGUAGGGAAUCUUCCGCAAUGGGCGAAAGCCUGACGGAGCAACGCCGCGUGAGUGAUGAAGGUCUUCGGAUCGUAAAACUCUGUUAUUAGGGAAGAACAUAUGUGUAAGUAACUGUGCACAUCUUGACGGUACCUAAUCAGAAAGCCACGGCUAACUACGUG